GGGGAAGAAGCUCGGGGACUGUGUGUCAUAGCAUUUUCAACGGCCGUCCUCUACAAACAAGGCUGGUUUACAAGAGGAACACAUAAGAACUCCAGAGUGGAUAACAAUUCCAAGCCAAUUUACCUCUCACUGAGGUGUCACAGAAAUCAAAACAAACAAAAACAACAAAGAAAAAUCCAACAGGGCUGAGGGCUGAGUCAGAGUGUCUAUGAAAAUGCUGCAGUACAAGGGAAUAUGGCAAAUAAUCUUUAGGGACAAACUGCCUUGAGCUCAGUUUUCAGGGUCAACACAAAAAAGUAAGUGAUAUUUAGUCAAAAAUCAAACAAAACAAAAACAAAACAAAAAGCUCACUGAAGAUCUGAGUUUUUCCAGUUAUUAAUGGGAAUAAAACUGCUGUAAAAUAGAUCUAUAGCACACAUUAGGUGUCAAUAAACUCAUUUCACAUUGAGAACAUCUUCUCUAGAAGAGAAGACAUCUGCUCAGUGUGGACAAUAUGGCUGAUGGUAUUGAGAAGGAGAUUAAAAAAAAAAAUCCCAGAUAGUUUGACAAAUUCAUGUCUUUUCUUGCACUUCCAUAUACUUUAAAUACCUGACUGGUUUCUUAUCUUGCACUGGUGGCUAUACAUGACACCCAAAAUUUUUAAGACACUUACAUAGAAAGGACAGCAAACAAUAAUACUGUGUGGCUCUCCUAUGUCUCUUGUUUCCUUCUUUCCAUUAUUUCUUAGUGGGAUAGCUUCAGAGAGUAUGCAAAGGAACUCAAAGAAGAGAAGAAAACCGUGUUUGAGGAGCGUGACCCAGACUGACUGUUCAGUGUGGAUACUGGCUAUCUGACUGUAAGAAGAAUGGCAGCAGAGCUUGAGGGCAGAGGGAUGGACAGGAGGGAAGAUUUCCAUCCAACCCACGGUGAGAAUGCCCACCCUUCAGAACAUUUCCCUUAGCAUUUUCACUCAGUCAAAAUCUUACGGGAUCGUAGUCUGUACUUGAGUACUGGUGGCUUUUAGAUAGUAGGCACCUACUAUCUUCCUCUUAUGUCAUGAUUCAUGUUUAGUCAGGAAGAUUAUUUUUGCCAAUACCUCAUAAAAAAGCAAAGAAAAUCUUUCCACAUAUUUGAUAUUUUUUUUUUUAUUUUUCCUUAACUGUAUAAGAUUAUGGAAGUAGAGUACAAAACAGCUUCACAUUAAGCUAAUCUUAAAAUUUUGCUGAAAAGUGCUUUCUUUACAAGUAAGACAAUCAUAAUUCUUCACAAGAGGUGAGUUCAGUUGUACAUUAGCAUUAGAUAAUCCAUUGGGUGGAAAGGCUGCCUAGAGUAGACUGUUACCAGAAAUAGAUAACAUCCUUCACAGUGACACUUGCUCAUAAUGCCUUUCCUAACCUAUUGCUCUGCAGCCAGAAAACUGGAUGAAAUAGUUCUGCUAAGCAGCAAACAGAAGAAAAAGUCACGUUCAAGAUAGAAACAUGUGUUUAUAUCUCCCCAUUACCAACCAUCAUUCACCAGGAAACUCUUGAGUGACUUCUGAGAAUCCUUGUACUCCUGGUAAUUAUAAGAAAUGCAGACCUA